GAAGGCGGGAGGGGAAAGGCGGCGGGCAGGGUUGGGGGGGUGGUUUCUGGCCCCGCCCUCCUCCAGGUCCGGCUCCCAGGCCGGGAGUCCCUGCCCCACCCACCCAGAGAGGCUGCUGGAGACUCCAGGCCAUGGUUCUGAUGUCGGACCACGUGGCUGCUGGUGAGGGCCGGCACACCCUGGGAGGCCUGGGGCUGCAGCCUCCUUACCUCCAAGGCCAGCAGAGGCGGCAGGAGCCUGGAGACCGUCAGGAAAAGGCCCUGUGCCUCCGGACUGCACCUCCCCCGGGGGCACAGAGAGCCCCAGGGGUUCUGAAAGCUACCGCCAGCCACAUUGAAGAAUUUGGAGUAAGGAAGGUCGUCCCAGGCCUGGUCCCACAGCACAGCAUCCUGGGGACAUUCCUUCCAGCCCGUGAAGGACAUUUUCAAAAGCAGAGUAUUCACGCGUAAUCCCUUUGUUCUUGGCUUUCUGUUUUGUCAACAUUCCAUGGCAGACACUGUCCACACCCAUGCCUUUCACACAACUGUCCAGAGCCACGUCUGUAAUCUGAAGUGUUUCCAUCCACAAGUGCCCCCAUGAGGGUCAGAGGCUGUGAACGUUUUCAGGGCUUGAUACCAACGCUCAGUGACCAGGAAUUACGUGGCCUUGCGGGAGGGCAUGGGAUCAGCGCAACACGGUUCGAGACAUUCAUCAGUAGAAUGUAUUUUCCACUUCACUAGGCAAAGAGGUAAAAGGCGACCUCAUUUUAAUUUACAUUUCUUUGACUACAAUAAGAAUGACCAUCUUUCCAAAUAUAAUUCCUCUUACGUGAACUGCCGAAGCACGUCCUUCAGACAUUUAUCUAUUAUAAUCUUUUGUAUUUAAUUUGUGUGAACUGUUUUUUCAGGAUAAAUCAUUGUCCCAUUUGGUUCCAAUAUUUUUCUAGUCUUUUCUUCUUAGCUGUCUUUGAUUUUUUUGUUCUACGUUUUCCUAGGUUUGAAUGUAUUGCUCUUAGCAAUUUCAGAGUUCAGAAUGUUCCUUUCUCUUUGAUGAUCCAAAAACAUUCUAGUCUUGGUAAAAAACAAUUUGUAUCAUCUUUUUUCUUCCACUUAAAGAGUGUAAUUCUUUUCAAAUUUCUA